UGCCCUUCUUGAAAGCAUGAA
rnacentral:piRNA from 1 species